UAGGGAAUCUUCCGCAAUGGGCGAAAGCCUGACGGAGCAACGCCGCGUGAGUGAUGAAGGUCUUCGGAUCGUAAAACUCUGUUAUUAGGGAAAAACAAAUGUGUAAGUAACUAUGCACGUCUUGACGGUACCUAAUCAGAAAGCCACGGCUAACUACGUGCCAGCAGCCGCGGUAAUACGUAGGUGGCAAGCGUUAUCCGGAAUUAUUGGGCGUAAAGCGCGCGUAGGCGGUUUUUUAAGUCUGAUGUGAAAGCCCACGGCUCAACCGUGGAGGGUCAUUGGAAACUGGAAAACUUGAGUGCAGAAGAGGAAAGUGGAAUUCCAUGUGUAGCGGUGAAAUGCGCAGAGAUAUGGAGGAACACCAGUGGCGAAGGCGACUUUCUGGUCUGUAACUGACGCUGAUGUGCGAAAGCGUGGGGAUCAAACAGG
rnacentral:rRNA from 1 species